AGAGUUUGAUCAUGGCUCAGAACGAACGCUGGCGGCGUGCUUAACACAUGCAAGUCGCGUGCGCAGUUUCCCUGUANCAAUACAGGGGGAUGGGCGCACGGCGCACGGGUGCGUAACACGUGGGCAAUCUGCCCUCUGAUGGGGAAUAACCCCGCGAAAGCGGGGCUAAUUCCGCAUAACAUUCCCUGGACGAUGGUUUGGGGAUUCAAAGCCGUAAGGCGUCAGAGGAGGANCCCGCGCCCGAUUAGCUAGUUGGUGAGGUAAUGGCUCACCAAGGCAAUGAUCGGUAGCUGGUCUGAGAGGAUGAUCAGCCACACUGGAACUGAAACACGGUCCAGACUCCUACGGGAGGCAGCAGUGGGGAAUCUUGCACAAUGGGCGAAAGCCUGAUGCAGCGACGCCGCGUGGGGGAUGAAGCUUUUCGGAGUGUAAACCCCUUUCGACCGGGAAGAAUGCCUCNCAAGAGGAGUGACGGUACCGGUAUAAGAAGCCCCGGCUAACUACGUGCCAGCAGCCGCGGUAAGACNUAGGGGGCCAGCGUUGUUCGGAAUUACUGGGUGUAAAGGGUUCGUAGGCGGUGUGGCAAGUUGGGAGUGAAAUCUCUGGGCUUAACCCAGANGCUGCUUCCAAAACUGCUGUGCUUGAGUGUGGGAGAGGCGCGUGGAAUUGCAGGUGUAGCGGUGAAAUGCGUANAUAUCUGCAGGAACACCCGUGGCGAAAGCGGCNCGCUGGANCACAACUGACGCUGAGGAACGAAAGCUAGGGGAGCAAACAGGAUUAGAUACCCUGGUAG
rnacentral:rRNA from 1 species